rnacentral:misc_RNA from 1 species
GACUUGAGCCCUUCUCACGUCUUGAAACCAGACCAUCACGCUGCAAGCGAAAAUAUCUGGGAUCGGCAUCAUAAGGUAAGGGCCUUGGAGGAGAUCGGUACAUGUCAGAGAGAGAGUUGUCAAGUGAUGCAGAAGUCAUAGAAGCUGUCCCCUGAAUGGAUGAGGGGACAGAAUGCACUUCCCCUCUUCCAAAUAAUGAGGAAUACACAUGAAGAAAAUUCUGUACAAAGCAACUGAGACACAUGCAAUUUCUAUAUACAGAACUGUUAGGAUUCAUAUAAUCCUCAAAAUCCUCAACAUGCAAACAACAGCAAACAGAACCCAUAGUGCCAGCUCCAAUCCCUUUCUUCCACAGAAUGCCCUCCAAAAGAAUUCUCCAAUCUCACCAACAAAACUCAAUGCCGCAGUGUAUUGGCAUCAAGAUGUAUUGUCUCGAACAAAUAAAUGGAGAACAAGAGAGGACUAUAAGCUCGCAGAAGUUCAAUUGCCUCUGCGAACCAGUACCCUCUCUCUCCCGUUUUUAGUGCGAAAUCCCUCUUUUCUAUUUGGUUGUACAAUUAUGAUCACUUAAUAUGAUCUUGUUAACAGAAUACGGACUGUUUGGCCACAAUUGUCCUCCUUUCU